AUUUUGAAACACUUGUAUAAGGAUAUACCAGAAGAUGCCAACUUACUUGAGUUAUCUAGUGGACACAACUCAAAAGAUGAGAGUAGCUCCACAGGGUGGACUGAUCAAAGGGAGACCAAAGAGGAGGAACUUCCUUUGACGUUCUCUAACAGAAUGAUGGUUAAAAACUUAUCGAGGAAAGCCAAAAAGUUUAUGAAGAGAACUUAAGGGCUAACGGGGAUUGGUGCACUCAUUAUACAUUCCAAUGAG
rnacentral:misc_RNA from 1 species